rnacentral:rRNA from 1 species
UACGUAGGGUGCAAGCGUUGUCCGGAAUUAUUGGGCGUAAAGAGCUCGUAGGCGGUUUGUCGCGUCUGCUGUGAAAACUCGGGGCUUAACCCCGGGCCUGCAGUGGGUACGGGCAGACUAGGGGUAUGCAGGGGAGAACGGAAUUCCUGGUGUAGCGGUGAAAUGCGCAGAUAUCAGGAGGAACACCGGUGGCGAAGGCGGUUCUCUGGGCAUUACCUGACGCUGAGGAGCGAAAGUGUGGGGAGCGAACAGG